rnacentral:misc_RNA from 1 species
GCAUGCGACCCUCACUCUCUUGCACUGGGUGCACCCCUGCGUGUUCUCGAGCUCUCUCUUUGUGGCUGUCUGUCUUUUCUUGUAUGCGCAGACAAGGCAAAGGGAAACGGGGGAAAAAAUACAGGAAAGGGACGUCGGGGACAAAGGCGUGCCGCGAUCGAUUUUUUUGUCCAGCCGCGCAUCUGCGUCUCUUCCUGCCGUGCGCACAGGGAAGAAAGCGGCAAGGGCAGACUAACGUAAACGCGCACAGAGAGACAAAGGCACACGGGUACGCCAACGCACAGGCACGUUCGCAGCUUUCCUGAGCUUACGCCACACGAGCGGGAACAGCAUCAACAAAGUAGAGCUGCUGCCCACUCUUUUCACAUCCCUUUUUGUUUCUUGUGUCCGUGUGGGUUUCUGCAGCUGACCGCUUGCCUGUUUCUUGUGUGAGGUUUUGCAUGCGCAUAUUUACUGUGCUUCUCUUUGCUUGAGGCCCAACCGUACCUGCCCAACUACCUUCUCUCUCCCUCUUUGAUUCUGCUUUUAGUUGAACUGAGCCGUGCUCACGUUAGCGUGUGGUGCUUCACUCCACCAUUCCUCUCCCUCG